rnacentral:rRNA from 1 species
CAGUCGUACCUGCGGACAAUCAGCUUUUUGAGUGUGAUUAUGUGGAUUGUGAGGAGUUUAAUCACCCUCAUGUUUUACGUAUUCGUGCUCUUGGGUGUACUUGUCUGUGUGGUAGGUUAACAUCAAUUUCGGUCGUCAUAAAAUGAUUGGAGGAAUGUAGCUUUGGUCUCGUAUCGAAGUGUUAUAGACUCUGGUAGAUGUGACGAUUGGGAUUGAGGAUUGCAACGGAUACCCUUCGGGGCUACUCGUCUGAUCUCUGAAGGUUGCUCCGGUUGCCGUAAAGCGUGCUUACGGUCA